rnacentral:rRNA from 1 species
UGGGGAAUAUUGCACAAUGGAGGAAACUCUGAUGCAGCAACGCCGCGUGAGUGAUGAAGGUCUUCGGAUCGUAAAGCUCUUUGAUUGGGGACGAUAAUGACGGUACCCAAAGAACAAGCCACGGCUAACUACGUGCCAGCAGCCGCGGUAAUACGUAGGUGGCGAGCGUUGUCCGGAUUUACUGGGCGUAAAGGAUGCGUAGGUGGAAACUUAAGUGGGAUGUGAAAUCCCUGGGCUCAACCCAGGAACUGCAUUCCAAACUGGGUAUCUAGAGUGCAGGAGAGGAAAGCGGAAUUCCUAGUGUAGCGGUGAAAUGCGUAGAUAUUAGGAAGAACAUCAGUGGCGAAGGCGGCUUUCUGGACUGUAACUGACACUGAGGCAUGAAAGCGUGGGGAGCAAACAGGAUUAGAUACCCUGGUAGU